ACCCAAAUUCCCUAAUAAGGUUUAGGACCUUGAUUAGGAGGCCGGGAGGGCCAUAAUUGAUUUAUUGUGCUAUUAUAUGACUAUAUGCAUGAUUAUGUGGGUCAUAUCAUUAUAUGAUGAUAAAGGCAUGCAUGGGGUUAUAUACUCUGUUGUGAGGGUAUUUUGGUAAUUUGGCUCACUGAGAGCGUAAUUGCAUACUUAUGUGUAUAUUGGUAGGUUAAUGUUGAGACCACAUUAUUAUGUGGGUAUGUCUGCAGCUUGUGGCUUGAGGCGAUCCUAGCAAGCGGUUUAGCGGGAAAGUCACAGCGGGGAUUUAUACCCGGCUCGGUGUGAGCCUGGGGUUGUAUCUGGGAAUUUGGAGAAUAUUUUGGAGAUGAUUUGGUAUUGAGAAAUAUAAUUGGUGACUAACUAGAUGACGGGAAUUAAGUGGUAAAUAUUUAAGACACUUGAGGAAUUAGUGGGAAUCGGGAGCAAUGACUAAAAUGCCCUUAGAAUGUUUAAAGGUUUAGUUAUUAUUGGGAGGGCAAGGUGGUCAUUUGGCUUACUUAAGGUUAGGCUAUAUUCUGAUUUUUGAUGUUAGUGGAGGUUGUAGAUAAACUUAGAAACUUAAGGAAAAGAAAAGAAGAAGGAAAGAAAGAAAAACAGAACACUUAGAGUUAUCUCACUCUCUCUCAUUCGGCUGGGUCAUCUCUUCACCAUUCCUUGUGGGUUUUGGAGCUGGAAUUCUAGAGCAAGCUCAGGAUGGAGCUUAGGGCUAGGGACUUUGGUGAAGCUUGAAGAACUAGCAGAAUUAAGCCAGUCAAUUGAGGGAUAUGAACCUGAGGAGUUGAAGGGCUUGAAGCUGGUUGGAUGCUAGAACGAUUCUACAGCCGAGGUGCUAAGCUAGGGCUCGGGGAUCGGAUCGCGCUCAAGGAACAUCGCUUAUAUCUAGCUCGUUUGAAAGCCAAAGGUAAAGGCAAGGGUAGGCUGAAUCAACCAUGAGUUGGAGAGCUCUGGGGGCGAGGUGUACAUUGUCAGCUGCUCGACCGCCACGGUCGAGGAAUUGUACAGGGACGGAAACCUAAAAUGUAUAUUUUGCCAUUAGAGUGGCUUGAAUUAUUUGUAGCUCUUGGAAUUUGUUAUAACUAAGACGUCUAAAUCCUGUUUCAAGUUUCCAUGUAUCAAACUGUCAUUUUUAAUGAAAAUAGCCUGUUUGUGACCAAAAUCUUUUAUUCCUAACCUGUUGAUGACAUUGAAUUCACACUUUGUUUAAAUGACUUGACUAGCAAGUCUUGCACUAUUUAAAACACACAGUGUAACGGUCUUGGUUAUCCAGGGCGU